UACGGGGGGGGCAAGCGUUGUUCGGAAUUACUGGGCGUAAAGGGCUCGUAGGUGGCCAACUAAGUCAGACGUGAAAUCCCCAGGCUCAACCUGGGAACUGCGUCUGAUACUGGAUGGCUUGAAUUCGGGAGAGGGAUGCAGAAUUCCAGGUGUAGCGGUGAAAUGCGUAGAUAUCAGGAGGAACACCGGUGGCGAAGGCGGCUUUCUGGACAGAUACCGACGCUGAGGCACGAAAGCUAGGGGAGCAAACAGG
rnacentral:rRNA from 1 species